rnacentral:lncRNA from 1 species
GUUCUUAGUAAAUGGUUAUCCUAUUGUUUAAGCCUAAUUACAGUUCGAAACAACGAAUUUCUAUAAAUGAGUUACAACUGCCCUGAAGCACUCCUAUCAGCAUGAAAGUAUUUGUGAUUGAAACUGACUAUAAGUUGAAUCUUGAAACAACCAAAAAAAUAAAAAUGAGUAGAAGUUGGCUGGUACCGUUAAUGUUAUUAUGAGAAUAUUGAUAACUUCAUAAUUACUAAAAAAAAAUUAACAAUAUCAAAAGAAUGUCAAAAAGUUAUAAAAUUAAAUAUUCAAUGCAAUCCAAUUCAAAAUAUUUUAUUAUUCAAAUACCAAACGUACAUUUAAACAAAGGGAUUUGACAAAAGACAAAUCCUUUCCCCUUCAAGAUUGGUUGACUAAUUUGAUAGUAUAUAAUAUAUUUCUGAUAAUUCACAGAUCAUUCAUUAUUGCAGUGAGUCAGAAAGGCAAACCCCCACUUAAUGAAAUAUUGUAUUGGGUAUGCAUAUAUAAUGAAUAAUUAUCAGUGAACCCUUGCCUGCUCACUACUUAAAUUGCAAAUUUUAUACCAGAUUAAUAAGUAAGGGUAAGUAAUUGUAAAGAAUAUAAUUUUAAAU